UGGGGAAUAUUGCGCAAUGGGGGAAACCCUGACGCAGCAACGCCGCGUGAUUGAAGAAGGCCUUCGGGUUGUAAAGAUCUUUAAUCAGGGACGAAACAAAUGACGGUACCUGAAGAAUAAGCUCCGGCUAACUACGUGCCAGCAGCCGCGGUAAUACGUAGGGAGCAAGCGUUAUCCGGAUUUACUGGGUGGAAAGGGCGCGCAGGCGGGCCGGCAAGUUGGAAGUGAAAUCUAUGGGCUUAACCCAUAAACUGCUUUCAAAACUGCUGGUCUUGAGUGAUGGAGAGGCAGGCGGAAUUCCGUGUGUAGCGGUGAAAUGCGUAGAUAUACGGAGGAACACCAGUGGCGAAGGCGGCCUGCUGGACAUUAACUGACGCUGAGGCGCGAAAGCGUGGGGAGCAAACA
rnacentral:rRNA from 1 species